rnacentral:piRNA from 1 species
UCUAAGCCUUCGUAUGCAGAAAACUGUGCACA